AUUGAACGCUGGCGGCAUGCCUUACACAUGCAAGUCGAACGGCAGCACGGGUGCUUGCACCUGGUGGCGAGUGGCGAACGGGUGAGUAAUAUAUCGGAACGUACCUUAUUGUGGGGGAUAACGCAGCGAAAGCUGUGCUAAUACCGCAUAAUCCCUAAGGGGGAAAGCGGGGGACCGUAAGGCCUCGCGCAAUUAGAGCGGCCGAUACCUGAUUAGCUAGUUGGUGAGGUAAAGGCUCACCAAGGCAACGAUCAGUAGCUGGCCUGAGAGGACGAUCAGCCACACUGGGACUGAGACACGACCCAGACUCCUACGGGAGGCAGCAGUGGGGAAUUUUGGACAAUGGGGGCAACCCUGAUCCAGCAAUGCCGCGUGAGUGAAGAAGGCCUUCGGGUUGUAAAGCUCUUUUGUCAGGGAAGAAACAGCAGCUCUAACACAGUAUGCGAAUGACGGUACCUGAAGAAUAAGCACCGGCUAACUACGUGCCAGCCGCCGCAGUAA
rnacentral:rRNA from 1 species